CAGAACUAAAGUGUCAACUCAUCCUCCAGCAUCACCUCCCCAUCUUACAUUCCUUAGAAAAAGAGACUGCAGAUUCCACUGCUGUGGAACAUCAUGAUAAAAAAGAUGUUUGUGGACUGGAGUACCCCACUGGACAAAACAAAUUGACACAAUGGAAUAUUUAUGCUAGUCACACAUUCACCUACAUCACCAGCUAAUUUUCCACAUGCAUCGGGAGAGUUCUGAGAUAACUGAGUAGCAAAAUUUAGCUGAAACAUCAGAAAAAGAUUUGGACAUAAACAAUAUAGAAAUACAACAUUGAUAUUACCUUUAUGCGUGACAGGAGAACUAAUAUAUUUUACUGUGGACUUCAUUUUGCAGGAUAUGUCAUAAAGACAAAACUAAAAAAGCUCAUUACUUUUUAGGCAUAAAUCAAUGAGAAAGCAAAUUACUGGAAGACAACAAGGAAACCCUGAGAUAAUCUGCAUUAGCCUGAAUAGUCCUGAGAGAAACUGUGAAGAUCAUACCAGUGUAACUAUCAUAGUUUCCUUCCCAAAUCUCUGACUGAUGGAAGAAUAUGGACAGCUGCACAAGUGUGGAUGUGCCCAUUGAAGCUCGUGGAAGUUCUUGCACAUAAAUUUCUUAAACCAAUGACUGUAUGACAGAUUUUAUUGUGCUGCUAAUGCAAUAUUUGCAGCCUCCAUGACUCAUACCAUCAUUCACUGAGAUCUUUGAAGCUUCUGCAUUGAAGUAAAGAGAUCUUAUCAGUGUGACUCUGGGCCUGGUGUUGAUAAAGUGGGUACUGAUGAGAAUGAAAUAACCACAGCAAAGGAUGAGUCUGACAACAAAAAAUAUAACUCUACGUCUAUCAACUUGAUAUUAAGUGGAAUGAAAUGAACUCUCCUUUGCCUAGAAAAAGCUGGCAACAGAGCCUUAAUUAGGAAAGUUAAAACACUGCUAGAGGUCAGAGGAUGAACAUGACACAGUAAACCCAUAGCCAGGGAGAAGAGAACAAAAGGAAUGGCACUUGUUGCUUAUAAUAUAUUACAAGGUAAUGCAUUCAAGAACUGAAUAAACUAUAAUCAUUGUCAUUACA
rnacentral:lncRNA from 1 species